rnacentral:rRNA from 1 species
AAUGCCUAGGAAUCUGCCCGAUAGUGGGGGACAACGUUUCGAAAGGAACGCUAAUACCGCAUACGUCCUACGGGAGAAAGUGGGGGAUCUUCGGACCUCACGCUAUCGGAUGAGCCUAGGUCGGAUUAGCUAGUUGGUGGGGUAAAGGCUCACCAAGGCGACGAUCCGUAACUGGUCUGAGAGGAUGAUCAGUCACACUGGAACUGAGACACGGUCCAGACUCCUACGGGAGGCAGCAGUGGGGAAUAUUGGACAAUGGGCGAAAGCCUGAUCCAGCCAUGCCGCGUGUGUGAAGAAGGUCUUCGGAUUGUAAAGCACUUUAAGUUGGGAGGAAGGGCAUUAACCUAAUACGUUAGUGUUUUGACGUUACCGACAGAAUAAGCACCGGCUAACUUCGUGCCAGCAGCCGCGGUAAUACGAAGGGUGCAAGCGUUAAUCGGAAUUACUGGGCGUAAAGCGCGCGUAGGUGGUUCAGCAAGUUGGAUGUGAAAGCCCCGGGCUCAACCUGGGAACUGCAUCCAAAACUACUGGGCUAGAGUACGGUAGAGGGUGGUGGAAUUUCCUGUGUAGCGGUGAAAUGCGUAGAUAUAGGAAGG